rnacentral:rRNA from 1 species
UGGAUAACUGGGGUGAAGUCGUAACAAGGUAGCCGUAUCGGAAGGUGCGGCUGGAUCACCUCCUUU